CCCUUAAAAAUUUUACUAUAAUCCCUCUGAUUACAAUGUGUUUAUUUUUUUGAACUCACAAAUAAAUCCAGUUCAUUUUUCAGGAUCUCCAACCAAAAUCUUACAUCGAUUAUUUUUUGGGCUCACAAUCAACCCAUUUGGUUUUUUUAGAUCACCAACCAAAAUGUACAAUAUCCAAUUCCAGGCUUGGACAGGCCUUACCCCAAGUUUCUUUUCC
rnacentral:lncRNA from 1 species